UUAAGCGACUAAGCGUACACGGUGGAUGCCCUGGCAGUCAGAGGCGAUGAAGGACGUGCUAAUCUGCGAUAAGCGUCGGUAAGGUGAUAUGAACCGUUAUAACCGGCGAUUUCCGAAUGGGGAAACCCAGUGUGAUUCGUCACACUAUCAUUAACUGAAUCCAUAGGUUAAUGAGGCGAACCGGGGGAACUGAAACAUCUAAGUACCCCGAGGAAAAGAAAUCAACCGAGAUUCCCCCAGUAGCGGCGAGCGAACGGGGAGCAGCCCAGAGCCUGAAUCAGUGUGUGUGUUAGUGGAAGCGUCUGGAAAGGCGCGCGAUACAGGGUGACAGCCCCGUACACAAAAAUGCACAUGCUGUGAGCUCGAUGAGUAGGGCGGGACACGUGGUAUCCUGUCUGAAUAUGGGGGGACCAUCCUCCAAGGCUAAAUACUCCUGACUGACCGAUAGUGAACCAGUACCGUGAGGGAAAGGCGAAAAGAACCCCGGCGAGGGGAGUGAAAAAGAACCUGAAACCGUGUACGUACAAGCAGUGGGAGCACGCUUAGGCGUGUGACUGCGUACCUUUUGUAUAAUGGGUCAGCGACUUAUAUUCUGUAGCAAGGUUAACCGAAUAGGGGAGCCGAAGGGAAACCGAGUCUUAACUGGGCGUUAAGUUGCAGGGUAUAGACCCGAAACCCGGUGAUCUAGCCAUGGGCAGGUUGAAGGUUGGGUAACACUAACUGGAGGACCGAACCGACUAAUGUUGAAAAAUUAGCGGAUGACUUGUGGCUGGGGGUGAAAGGCCAAUCAAACCGGGAGAUAGCUGGUUCUCCCCGAAAGCUAUUUAGGUAGCGCCUCGUGAAUUCAUCUCCGGGGGUAGAGCACUGUUUCGGCAAGGGGGUCAUCCCGACUUACCAACCCGAUGCAAACUGCGAAUACCGGAGAAUGUUAUCACGGGAGACACACGGCGGGUGCUAACGUCCGUCGUGAAGAGGGAAACAACCCAGACCGCCAGCUAAGGUCCCAAAGUCAUGGUUAAGUGGGAAACGAUGUGGGAAGGCCCAGACAGCCAGGAUGUUGGCUUAGAAGCAGCCAUCAUUUAAAGAAAGCGUAAUAGCUCACUGGUCGAGUCGGCCUGCGCGGAAGAUGUAACGGGGCUAAACCAUGCACCGAAGCUGCGGCAGCGACRCUUAUGYGUUGUUGGGUAGGGGAGCGUUCUGUAAGCCUGUGAAGGUGURCUGUGAGGYAUGCUGGAGGUAUCAGAAGUGCGAAUGCUGACAUAAGUAACGAUAAAGCGGGUGAAAAGCCCGCUCGCCGGAAGACCAAGGGUUCCUGUCCAACGUUAAUCGGGGCAGGGUGAGUCGACCCCUAAGGCGAGGCCGAAAGGCGUAGUCGAUGGGAAACAGGUUAAUAUUCCUGUACUUGGUGUUACUGCGAAGGGGGGACGGAGAAGGCUAUGUUGGCCGGGCGACGGUUGUCCCGGUUUAAGCGUGUAGGCUGGUUUUCCAGGCAAAUCCGGAAAACUAAGGCUGAGGCGUGAUGACGAGGCACUACGGUGCUGAAGCAACAAAUGCCCUGCUUCCAGGAAAAGCCUCUAAGCAUCAGGUAACAUCAAAUCGUACCCCAAACCGACACAGGUGGUCAGGUAGAGAAUACCAAGGCGCUUGAGAGAACUCGGGUGAAGGAACUAGGCAAAAUGGUGCCGUAACUUCGGGAGAAGGCACGCUGAUAUGUAGGUGAAGUCCCUCGCGGAUGGAGCUGAAAUCAGUCGAAGAUACCAGCUGGCUGCAACUGUUUAUUAAAAACACAGCACUGUGCAAACACGAAAGUGGACGUAUACGGUGUGACGCCUGCCCGGUGCCGGAAGGUUAAUUGAUGGGGUCAGCGCAAGCGAAGCUCUUGAUCGAAGCCCCGGUAAACGGCGGCCGUAACUAUAACGGUCCUAAGGUAGCGAAAUUCCUUGUCGGGUAAGUUCCGACCUGCACGAAUGGCGUAAUGAUGGCCAGGCUGUCUCCACCCGAGACUCAGUGAAAUUGAACUCGCUGUGAAGAUGCAGUGUACCCGCGGCAAGACGGAAAGACCCCGUGAACCUUUACUAUAGCUUGACACUGAACAUUGAGCCUUGAUGUGUAGGAUAGGUGGGAGGCUUUGAAGUGUGGACGCCAGUCUGCAUGGAGCCGACCUUGAAAUACCACCCUUUAAUGUUUGAUGUUCUAACGUUGACCCGUGAUCCGGGUUGCGGACAGUGUCUGGUGGGUAGUUUGACUGGGGCGGUCUCCUCCUAAAGAGUAACGGAGGAGCACGAAGGUUGGCUAAUCCUGGUCGGACAUCAGGAGGUUAGUGCAAUGGCAUAAGCCAGCUUGACUGCGAGCGUGACGGCGCGAGCAGGUGCGAAAGCAGGUCAUAGUGAUCCGGUGGUUCUGAAUGGAAGGGCCAUCGCUCAACGGAUAAAAGGUACUCCGGGGAUAACAGGCUGAUACCGCCCAAGAGUUCAUAUCGACGGCGGUGUUUGGCACCUCGAUGUCGGCUCAUCACAUCCUGGGGCUGAAGUAGGUCCCAAGGGUAUGGCUGUUCGCCAUUUAAAGUGGUACGCGAGCUGGGUUUAGAACGUCGUGAGACAGUUCGGUCCCUAUCUGCCGUGGGCGCUGGAGAACUGAGGGGGGCUGCUCCUAGUACGAGAGGACCGGAGUGGACGCAUCACUGGUGUUCGGGUUGUCAUGCCAAUGGCACUGCCCGGUAGCUAAAUGCGGAAGAGAUAAGUGCUGAAAGCAUCUAAGCACGAAACUUGCCCCGAGAUGAGUUCUCCCUGACUCCUUGAGAGUCCUGAAGGAACGUUGAAGACGACGACGUUGAUAGGCCGGGUGUGUAAGCGCAGCGAUGCGUUGAGCUAACCGGUACUAAUGAACCGUGAGGCUUAACCUU
rnacentral:rRNA from 1 species